GCCUGGGUGGCUCAGUUGGUUAAGCAUCUGACUUUGGCUCAGGUCAUAUUCUCACAGUUUGUGGGCUCAAACCCCAUGUCAGGCU
rnacentral:tRNA from 1 species